rnacentral:rRNA from 1 species
UUAAGUGACUAAGCGUACACGGUGGAUGCCUUGGCAGUCAGAGGCGAUGAAGGACGUAGUAACUUGCGAUAAGCGUAGAUGAGGCAGUAACAGCCACUUGAGUCUACGAUUUCCGAAUGGGGAAACCCACUGGCAUAAGCCAGUAUCAUUGAGUGAAUACAUAGCUCAAUGAAGCGAACCGGGAGAACUGAAACAUCUAAGUACCCCGAGGAAAAGAAAUCAACCGAGAUUCCGAAAGUAGCGGCGAGCGAAAUUGGAUUAGCCCUUAAGCUUUACAUGUGUUAGACGAACGGUCUGGAAAGUCCGACGAUACAGGGUGAUAGUCCCGUAGUUGACGAUGCAUGUUCAGUGAAAUCGAGUAGGGCGGGACACGUGUUAUCCUGUCUGAAUAUGGGGGGACCAUCCUCCAAGGCUAAAUACUCCUGACUGACCGAUAGUGAACCAGUACCGUGAGGGAAAGGCGAAAAGAACCCCUGUGAGGGGAGUGAAAUAGAACCUGAAACCGUGUACGUACAAGCAGUAGGAGCACCUUCGUGGUGUGACUGCGUACCUUUUGUAUAAUGGGUCAGCGACUUAUAUUCAGUGGCAAGGUUAACCAUCUAGGGGAGCCGUAGGGAAACCGAGUCUUAACUGGGCGCCAUAGUCUCUGGAUAUAGACCCGAAACCGAGUGAUCUAGCCAUGGGCAGGUUGAAGGUUGAGUAACAUCAACUGGAGGACCGAACCGACUAARUSUUKRAWMRWUMMGAUCGGACAUCAUUUAAAGAAAGCGUAAUAGCUCACUAGUCGAGUCGGCCUGCGCGGAAGAUGUAACGGGGCUAAGUUGUAAACCGAAGCUGCGGCAAUAGAUCGGAAACUGUUUAUUAAAAACACAGCACUGUGCAAAAUCGUAAGAUGACGUAUACGGUGUGACGCCUGCCCGGUGCCGGAAGGUUAAUUGAUGGGGUUAGCGUAAAGGAAGCUCUUGAUCGAAGCCCCGGUAAACGGCGGCCGUAACUAUAACGGUCCUAAGGUAGCGAAAUUCCUUGUCGGGUAAGUUCCGACCUGCACGAAUGGCGUAAUGAUGGCCACGCUGUCUCCACCCGAGACUCAGUGAAAUUGAAAUCGCUGUGAAGAUGCAGUGUACCCGCGGCUAGACGGAAAGACCCCGUGAACCUUUACUACAGCUUGGCACUGAACAUUGAACCUACAUGUGUAGGAUAGGUGGGAGGCUUUGAAGACGUGACGCCAGUUGCGUUGGAGCCGUCCUUGAAAUACCACCCUUGUAUGUUUGAUGUUCUAACGUUGGCCCCUAAUCGGGGUUGCGGACAGUGCCUGGUGGGUAGUUUGACUGGGGCGGUCUCCUCCCAAAGAGUAACGGAGGAGCACGAAGGUGGGCUAAUCACGGUUGGACAUCGUGAGGUUAGUGCAAUGGCAUAAGCCCGCUUAACUGCGAGAAUGACGGUUCGAGCAGGUGCGAAAGCAGGUCAUAGUGAUCCGGUGGUUCUGAAUGGAAGGGCCAUCGCUCAACGGAUAAAAGGUACUCCGGGGAUAACAGGCUGAUACCGCCCAAGAGUUCAUAUCGACGGCGGUGUUUGGCACCUCGAUGUCGGCUCAUCACAUCCUGGGGCUGAAGUCGGUCCCAAGGGUAUGGCUGUUCGCCAUUUAAAGUGGUACGCGAGCUGGGUUUAGAACGUCGUGAGACAGUUCGGUCCCUAUCUGCCGUGGGCGUUGGAAGAUUGAAGGGGGCUGCUCCUAGUACGAGAGGACCGGAGUGGACGAACCUCUGGUGUUCGGGUUGUGUCGCCAGACGCAUUGCCCGGUAGCUAAGUUCGGAAUCGAUAACCGCUGAAAGCAUCUAAGCGGGAAGCGAGCCCUGAGAUGAGUCUUCCCUGAUACUUUAAGUAUCCUAAAGGGUUGUUCGAGACUAGAACGUUGAUAGGCAGGGUGUGUAAGCGCUGUGAGGCGUUGAGCUAACCUGUACUAAUUGCCCGUGAGGCUUAACCAU